UACGGAGGGUGCAAACGUUGCUCGGAAUCAUUGGGCGUAAAGCGCACGUAGGUGGUUUGAUAGGUUGGGUGUGAAAGCCCUGGGCUUAACCUAGGAAGUGCAUUCAAAACUGUCAGACUUGAGUUCCGGAGGGGUUCAGAGAAUUCCUGGUGUAGAGGUGAAAUUCGUAGAUAUCAGGAGGAAUACCAGUGGCGAAGGCGCUGAACUGGACGGAAACUGACGCUGAGGUGCGAAAGCGUGGGUAGCAAACAGG
rnacentral:rRNA from 1 species